GGGUUGUGAGGUUAAGCGACUAAGCGUACACGGUGGAUGCCCUGGCAGUCAGAGGCGAUGAAGGACGUGCUAAUCUGCGAAAAGCGUCGGUAAGGUGAUAUGAACCGUUAUAGCCGGCGAUGUCCGAAUGGGGAAACCCAGUGCAAUUCGUUGCACUAUCGUUAACUGAAUACAUAGGUUAACGAGGCGAACCGGGGGAACUGAAACAUCUAAGUACCCCGAGGAAAAGAAAUCAACCGAGAUUCCCCCAGUAGCGGCGAGCGAACGGGGAGCAGCCCGGAGUCUGAAUCAGCUUGUGUGUUAGUGGAAGCGUCUGGAAAGUCGCAGGGUACAGGGUGAUACUCCCGUACACUAAAACACACAGGUUGUGAACUCGAAGAGUAGGGCGGGACACGUGGUAUCCUGUCUGAAUAUGGGGGGACCAUCCUCCAAGGCUAAAUACUCCUGACUGACCGAUAGUGAACCAGUACCGUGAGGGAAAGGCGAAAAGAACCCCGGCGAGGGGAGUGAAAAAGAACCUGAAACCGUGUACGUACAAGCAGUAGGAGCCCACUAGUUGGGUGACUGCGUACCUUUUGUAUAAUGGGUCAGCGACUUAUAUUCUGUAGCAAGGUUAACCGUAUAGGGGAGCCGCAGGGAAACCGAGUCUUAACUGGGCGUUAAGUUGCAGGGUAUAGACCCGAAACCCGGUGAUCUAGCCAUGGGCAGGUUGAAGGUUGGGUAACACUAACUGGAGGACCGAACCGACUAAUGUUGAAAAAUUAGCGGAUGACUUGUGGCUGGGGGUGAAAGGCCAAUCAAACCGGGAGAUAGCUGGUUCUCCCCGAAAGCUAUUUAGGUAGCGCCUCGUGAACUCAUCUUCGGGGGUAGAGCACUGUUUCGGCUAGGGGGUCAUCCCGACUUACCAACCCGAUGCAAACUACGAAUACCGAAGAAUGUUAUCACGGGAGACACACGGCGGGUGCUAACGUCCGUCGUGAAGAGGGAAACAACCCAGACCGCCAGCUAAGGUCCCAAAGUCAUGGUUAAGUGGGAAACGAUGUGGGAAGGCCCAGACAGCCAGGAUGUUGGCUUAGAAGCAGCCAUCAUUUAAAGAAAGCGUAAUAGCUCACUGGUCGAGUCGGCCUGCGCGGAAGAUGUAACGGGGCUAAACCAUGCACCGAAGCUGCGGCAGCGACGCUUAUGCGUUGUUGGGUAGGGGAGCGUUCUGUAAGCCGUUGAAGGUGGCCUGUGAGGGUUGCUGGAGGUAUCAGAAGUGCGAAUGCUGACAUAAGUAACGAUAAUGCGGGUGAAAAACCCGCACGCCGGAAGACCAAGGGUUCCUGUCCAACGUUAAUCGGGGCAGGGUGAGUCGACCCCUAAGGCGAGGCCGAAAGGCGUAGUCGAUGGGAAACAGGUUAAUAUUCCUGUACUCGGUGUUACUGCGAAGGGGGGACGGAGAAGGCUAUGUUGGCCGGGCGACGGUUGUCCCGGUUUAAGCAUGUAGGCGGAUGUUCCAGGUAAAUCCGGAACGUUACUAACGCUGAGGUGUGAUGACGAGGCACUACGGUGCUGAAGUGACAAAUGCCCUGCUUCCAGGAAAAGCCUCUAAGCAUCAGGUAACAUCAAAUCGUACCCCAAACCGACACAGGUGGUCAGGUAGAGAAUACCAAGGCGCUUGAGAGAACUCGGGUGAAGGAACUAGGCAAAAUGGUGCCGUAACUUCGGGAGAAGGCACGCUGAUGGUAGGUGAAGUGACUUGCUCAUGGAGCUGAAAUCAGUCGAAGAUACCAGCUGGCUGCAACUGUUUAUUAAAAACACAGCACUGUGCAAACACGAAAGUGGACGUAUACGGUGUGACGCCUGCCCGGUGCCGGAAGGUUAAUUGAUGGGGUUAUCCGUAAGGAGAAGCUCUUGAUCGAAGCCCCGGUAAACGGCGGCCGUAACUAUAACGGUCCUAAGGUAGCGAAAUUCCUUGUCGGGUAAGUUCCGACCUGCACGAAUGGCGUAAUGAUGGCCAGGCUGUCUCCACCCGAGACUCAGUGAAAUUGAACUCGCUGUGAAGAUGCAGUGUACCCGCGGCAAGACGGAAAGACCCCGUGAACCUUUACUAUAGCUUGACACUGAACACUGGUCCUUGAUGUGUAGGAUAGGUGGGAGGCUUUGAAGUGUGGACGCCAGUCUGCAUGGAGCCAUCCUUGAAAUACCACCCUUUAAUGGCUGGUGUUCUAACGUGGGCCCGUAAUCCGGGUUGCGGACAGUGUCUGGUGGGUAGUUUGACUGGGGCGGUCUCCUCCUAAAGAGUAACGGAGGAGCACGAAGGUCAGCUAAUCCUGGUCGGACAUCAGGAGGUUAGUGCAAUGGCAUAAGCUGGCUUGACUGCGAGCGUGACGGCGCGAGCAGGUGCGAAAGCAGGUCAUAGUGAUCCGGUGGUUCUGAAUGGAAGGGCCAUCGCUCAACGGAUAAAAGGUACUCCGGGGAUAACAGGCUGAUACCGCCCAAGAGUUCAUAUCGACGGCGGUGUUUGGCACCUCGAUGUCGGCUCAUCACAUCCUGGGGCUGAAGUAGGUCCCAAGGGUAUGGCUGUUCGCCAUUUAAAGUGGUACGCGAGCUGGGUUUAGAACGUCGUGAGACAGUUCGGUCCCUAUCUGCCGUGGGCGCUGGAGAAUUGAGGGGGGCUGCUCCUAGUACGAGAGGACCGGAGUGGACGCAUCACUGGUGUUCGGGUUGUCAUGCCAAUGGCAUUGCCCGGUAGCUAAAUGCGGAAGAGAUAAGUGCUGAAAGCAUCUAAGCACGAAACUUGCCCCGAGAUGAGUUCUCCCUGACUCCUUGAGAGUCCUGAAGGAACGUUGAAGACGACGACGUUGAUAGGCCGGGUGUGUAAGCGCAGCGAUGCGUUGAGCUAACCGGUACUAAUGAACCGUGAGGCUUAACCUUACAACGCCGAAG
rnacentral:rRNA from 1 species